GAUGAACGCUGGCGGCGUGCCUAAUACAUGCAAGUCGAGCGAACAGACGAGGAGCUUGCUCCUCUGACGUUAGCGGCGGACGGGUGAGUAACACGUGGAUAACCUACCUAUAAGACUGGGAUAACUUCGGGAAACCGGAGCUAAUACCGGAUAAUAUAUUGAACCGCAUGGUUCAAUAGUGAAAGACGGUUUUGCCGUCACUUAUAGAUGGAUCCGCGCCGCAUUAGCUAGUUGGUAAGGUAACGGCUUACCAAGGCAACGAUGCGUAGCCGACCUGAGAGGGUGAUCGGCCACACUGGAACUGAGACACGGUCCAGACUCCUACGGGAGGCAGCAGUAGGGAAUCUUCCGCAAUGGGCGAUAGCCUGACGGAGCAACGCCGCGUGAGUGAUGAAGGUCUUCGGAUCGUAAAACUCUGUUAUUAGGGAAGAACAAAUGUGUAAGUAACUAUGCACGUCUUGACGGUACCUAAUCAGAAAGCCACGGCUAACUACGUG
rnacentral:rRNA from 1 species